rnacentral:lncRNA from 1 species
AAACCAGAACCUAAAUGGUAGAGCAACAAACAGCAGCCUGUGCGGGAAGAUAAUGAAAUUUACAAAGCUUCUAGGAAGGCCCAUCUCAAGUCCUUGCAGCUGAGAGAAUCUGAGCCUGCCACCUCAGAAGUGCCUAAGGAUGGUUGUGAGCAUGUGUGGAUGACUUCUUCAGGAGCCGGACAGCAGGUUGGGAGGCAUCUUGUCCUGGUGCCCGAUUUUCCCUUUAUUUAGUACACAUAUAAACUUGUCAUUUAACAGAAA